rnacentral:rRNA from 1 species
GACGAACGCUGGCGGCGUGCUUAACACAUGCAAGUCGAACGGAAAGGCCCUGCUUUUGUGGGGUGCUCGAGUGGCGAACGGGUGAGUAACACGUGAGUAACCUGCCCUUGACUUUGGGAUAACUUCAGGAAACUGGGGCUAAUACCGGAUAGGAGCUCCUGCUGCAUGGUGUGGGUUGGAAAGUUUCGGCGGUUGGGGAUGGACUCGCGGCUUAUCAGCUUGUUGGUGGGGUAGUGGCUUACCAAGGCUUUGACGGGUAGCCGGCCUGAGAGGGUGAACGGCCACAUUGGGACUGAGAUACGGCCCAGACUCCUACGGGAGGCAGCAGUGGGGAAUAUUGCACAGUGGGCGGAAGCCUGAUGCAGCAACGCCGCGUGCGGGAUGACGGCCUUCGGGUUGUAAACCGCUUUCGCCUGUGACGAAGCGUGAGUGGCGGUAAUGGGUAAAGAAGCACCGGCUAACUACGUG